rnacentral:misc_RNA from 1 species
UAAUGAGAAGGAUGCUUUAUAAUAGAACAAAAUAUUCUUAUCAUGUUAUGUGGCUUUAUGUUAUAAAAGAUGAACUCUCUCAUUUAAAUUUGAACUAAUAAAAAAUGAUAGCGGGUUAAAUUAAAAUGUUAAAAUAUAUUAUUAUAGACUGUUAUAAUUUGACUAUUAUAAUUAGAGAAGUAUAUUAACAUAAAAAAAUGACAAAAAAAAUAAAAAAGAAAGAAGUGAGAGAAAAGAAUGGCUAAUGGAAGAAAAAUAGCUAAGGAAAG